GAUGAACGCUGGCGGCGUGCCUAAUACAUGCAAGUCGAGCGAACAGAUGAGGAGCUUGCUCCUCUGACGUUAGCGGCGGACGGGUGAGUAACACGUGGAUAACCUCCCUAUCAGACUGGGAUAACUUCGGGAAACCGGCGCUAAUACCGGAUAAUAUAUUGAACCGCAUGGUUCAAUAGUGAAAGACGGUUUUGCUGUCACUUCUCGAUGGAUCCGCGCCGCAUUAGCUAGUUGGUAAGGUAACGGCUUACCACGGCAACGAUGCGUAGCCGAACUGAGAGGGGGAUCGGCGACACGGGAACGGAGACACGGUCCAGACGCCUACGGGAGGCAGCAGUAGGGAAUCUGCCGCAAUGGGCGAAAGCCUGACGGAGCAACGCCGCGUGAGUGAUGAAGGUCUUCGGAGCGUAAAAAUCGGUUAUGAGGGAAGAACAAAUGUGGAAGGAACUAUGCACGUCGUGACGGUACCUAAUCAGAAAGCCACGGCUAACUACGUG
rnacentral:rRNA from 1 species